rnacentral:tRNA from 1 species
AUGAUAAUUAGUUUAAGCCAAAAACAAAU